rnacentral:rRNA from 1 species
ACGGGAGGCAGCAGUGGGGAAUAUUGCACAAUGGGGGAAACCCUGAUGCAGCGACGCCGCGUGAGCGAAGAAGGCUUUCGGGUCGUAAAGCUCUGUCCCAAGAGAAGAAAGAAAUGACGGUAUCUUGGGAGGAAGCCCCGGCUAACUACGUGCCAGCAGCCGCGGUAA